CAGUAGCCGCGGGAAUACCGAGGGUGCGAGCGUUAAUCGGAUUUACUGGGCGUAAAGCGUGCGUAGGCGGCUUCUUAAGUCGGAUGUGAAAUCCCUGAGCUUAACUUAGGAAUUGCAUUCGAUACUGGGAAGCUAGAGUAUGGGAGAGGAUGGUAGAAUUCCAGGUGUAGCGGUGAAAUGCGUAGAGAUCUGGAGGAAUACCGGUGGCGAAGGCGGCCCCCUGGACAAAGACUGACGCUCAGGUGCGAAAGCGUGGGGAGCAAACAGGAUUAGAUACCCCCGUAGUCCCUGUCUCUUAUAC
rnacentral:rRNA from 1 species